CUGUCACAAAUUAGAUAACUUCGUACUUUUUCAGAUGAAUUAUGUUUGUAGAUGGCUACCGUUCAGUUUAAACUUCGCGGAUUGACUGGAAAAGAGUGUGUUUAUUGAAAGCAUGUGGAAGUUCUAGCCGUUUUUUUUGUAUAUUUCGUAGGAAUCGACUCGAAAUCAUUUUUGUAUACAUGAACAGAAUGGACUCGAAUACGACAUGGAUUAAAUAUCGUGGUAUUUUGUGAAACUUUUCAUCAUUUUCUUUUUUUAUUUUUAUUUUUUCUUGCUAUUUGAGGGAUUUUAAUGAAAUAAAAAGUGUUAAUGCUUGGAUUGAUGCUUACAAGUGGCGACCGUGAUCUGGUCGUUUCUUGCAGCAGUGUGCAUGAUGUUUUUGUUCCGUUGGGGACCUUAUAUCUAUAAACAUAUAUAGGCCUAUUAUGUAAAAUAUUUGAUUAUGUGUCUAGCACCUGUGGAAUCAGAGGUGGAGGAAGAAUGAUUUUAGACACAAUGUCUUUUAUCAAUCGUCACGGAGAACAUACGCCGCGUCCAGAGUUCGAACGCUCUCCCUAUUGAGCUAAGCGGGAGAUGAGAUGAUGAUAGCGGUUAGAACAAAAAAAUAAACAUCGUUGCAUCCUGUAAAAUUCAUUGCUCUUAGGAGGAGAAAACCUUAUCCGCAACGUUUCAUCUAUUUAUUAACUGCAUGGAUGGAAAAACAUUACCACAAAGCAAAGAAAGAUCUAGACGGAGCUACAACAUUGGGCACGUCAGAGCGCGAGUAACAAAAAGAUUCAUCUACUAAAAAGAUAGAUGGUGACUUCGUCUGUUAUGGAUAUUCGAUUUCACUGUCUGGAGCAAUGGUACGUAGAAAGGUAACACCACCUAUUAUUAUCCUAAACCGGGUUUGGCCACUAACAAGACUGGGCUAAAAAUAUUCUCUUUGUUCAAACCGUACACUUCUGGCAAUUACAUUUUGGUUUCCUAUGCAUUCUGAUUUGAAUGUACGGUCAUCUUCUACGGUCCUGAUAUGAAUUAUCUCAGACAAUCUUCAAAGUGGUAUGCUGUCAAGCUGAAAGCCGACUAAGAUACAAAGGCACAGUUGGUACUAUUGCAGCGAGUAUCCAGUCACUUGACACAAACACGGUCAAUAGCAAAGCAAAAACCUAGAUGCUAAGAUAGGAUUAAACAUGCUGAAAGGACAGUAAAUGAGUAGCCAGAAAAACAAAUGAUUCAUGAACCAAAAGUUGACAUGGGCAGAUUCUAACGCUCGACACCGCUUCAACCCCUGUUUCAGCCAAGUUAUGUAACGGUGGGCAGUUAGUCUAAUCAGUGUUCCUGGAGUCUGGACCAGUACUAACCUGUUCUCCGCAAGUAACUGCCAACUUCCCCACAUGAAUCAGAGGUGGAGGACAAAUGAUUUCAGACACAAUGUCUUUUAUCAGUCGUCACGGAGAACAUACGCCGCGCCAAGGGAUCGAACUCAUUACCCGCGAUCCUUAGAUCUGCGCUCUACCGAUUGAGCUAAGUGGGCGGACUAGUGGACAGCAAGAUGAGAUGAUGACAGAGAUUAGAACAAUAAAACAUCGUUGCAUCCUGUACAAUUCAUUGCUCUAAAGAGGAAGAAACCCUUAUCCAAAAUGUAUCAAGUAUUUUUUAACCACAUGGACGGAAAGGCAUCACCGCAAAUAAAACUCAUGGACAAGCAAAGAAAGAUCUAGACAAAGCUACAACAAUGGGUAGCAGAAUAUUUUAUUAAUAACGUCAGAACGCGGGUAACCAAAAGUUCAUCUACUAAAAAGAUAGAUGGCGACUUCUUCUGUUAUGGAUAUUCAAUUUCACUGUGUGGACAAAUGGUACGUAGAAAGAUAACACCACCUAUCGUUAUCCUAAACCGGGAUUGGUCCACUAACAAGACUUGGCUAAAAAUAUUCUUCUUGUUCAAACCGUACACUUCUGGCAAUGACAAUU